rnacentral:misc_RNA from 1 species
GAUGAAGAACGCAGCGAAAUGCGAUAACUAAUGUGAAUUGCAGAAUUCCGUGAAUCAUCGAGUCUUUGAACGCACAUUGCGCCCCCUGGUAUUCCGGGGGGCAUGCCUGUCCGAGCGUCAUUACAACCCUCAAGCCCGGCUUGUGUAAUGGGCGGCCGUCUCUCCCCCCGGGGGGAGACGCCCCCGAAACUCAGUGGGGAUGUCGCGAUACCGAAGCCUCAGCUAAUGGGUAAACCACAGCUGCAAUGGCCGCGGCCGGCGUCCGCCUUCCACGGUCCGUCCGCCUAGCGCGGGCGGCCUUCUCAAGGUUGACCUCGGAUCAGGUAGGGAUACCCGCUGAGUUUAAGCAUAUCAAUAAGCGGAGGA